rnacentral:misc_RNA from 1 species
GAUGAAGAACGCAGCGAAAUGCGAUAAGUAAUGUGAAUUGCAGAAUUCAGUGAAUCAUCGAAUCUUUGAACGCACAUUGCGCCCGCUAGUAUUCUGGCGGGCAUGCCUGUCCGAGCGUCAUUUCAACCCUCAAGCCCCCGGGCUUGGUGUUGGGGAUCGGCGAGCCUCCGCGCCCGCCGUCCCCUAAAUCUAGUGGCGGUCUCGCUGUAGCUUCCUCUGCGUAGUAGCACACCUCGCACUGGGAAACAGCGCGGCCACGCCGUUAAACCCCCAACGUCUGAACGUUUGACAUCGGAUCAGGUAGGAAUACCCGCUGAACUUAAGCAUAUCAAUAAGCGGAGGA